rnacentral:snoRNA from 1 species
GUGCAAUGAUGCAUUAUAAACACAUCAUUCUGAAAACAGAUGUGUAGAGAAGGUAGUAACUGAGCACA